rnacentral:rRNA from 1 species
AUGCACUGCCCGGGCCUCCCUUGCAUCCUCCUCACCGCUGAACCGGCCUCCUCUCCAUCUCCUCUGCGCCCAUGGGCCUCGACGCCCUUGUUGCUGCGGCUGCUAGACCACCACAGUGCCAUCAGGAAGACUCUGGCCACCACCGAGAACCCCCGGACCUGUCAAGACGUGUACACGGAGACCCAAGUCAGGAGACUACCGAUGGCCCUCCAAGUUCAACAAAUCGUCGACAUCGGAGUACCACUACUUCAACAGGUGUACAACUACGCGGUUUCGCUGAGUACCCCUUCGGAUUCGUCGAGUUCGACUACCCCGCAAGAACCAGAGCGCCAAGUACCUCUACCGCCGUUUUCGGAACCGCUAAGAACGGCAAGUACCUCAGCAAGUACCUUGACACCCGAUGCAUAG